AUACCGAAGGCUUAUCGUGGAUACGCACUCAUCCAGGUGUUUUGCUUGACCUGCGCGCCGCGUCUCUGCUUGUCGCACUCUCCCGCUUGCCGUGUGCCGUGCCUCUUUUGCUCUUAUCGUCUUCUUCAGAGCGCCGCUCUGCGCCACACCGGCCCCCUCCCCGUAUCUCUACCUUUGUGGCCAUGGAUCAAAUUGCCGUCUCUGUCAGCGCCCUCGUCCACCGCAUGGAGGAGCUGCGCCUCCCGGUUGUGCCGUACAGCACGUACAUCAAAGCAGUCUGCAUUGGCAUUCCCCUUGCUGUACUGGUCCAUGACACGGCUGAGUACUGGAUGCCCACCAAGGUCCGCAUUCCGGUGCUCUCGUGGUUCGCGCGCAAGUGGCGACGGAACCCCGAGGCAAAACACGUGCACCUCCGUGUGAUUCGCAAUCUGGUUCUCUUCGCGUUUUUUGUCGUGCUCCGCAUGGACGGCACGGCGAACGAGGAGGCGGAACCGUCGGACUACGUCUCGCAGCGACUGACUAGUGCCUCGGGCCAGCGCGCGGUGAACCAGGAGAUCUACAAGUCCCGCCGAGCCGCCUUCAACGCUGCCACGGCCGUACUUGGAGAGGAGGAGAUGAACAUGGAGGGUGUGCAGCAGCAGCGCGACGCCGUGCUCCGCCGUCGCCGCCUCCACGACCCCAACGUGGCGUAAAGCCCAAGUGCCAGCUUGUUUAGUGGCCCACAAUGGAUGUGCGUUAGCGCCCUGUUAAUUUUUUUAUUCCCAUAUGUGCACUGAACUCGUUCUCGUUGGUGGCGCUGUUUCUUUUCCUCUUGCUGUCGCGGAUAAGCAGGUGGUAAGGGGUGAAGCAGCGCUGGGGGAGUAGAUUGGCGCUCUCUGCCUCCCUCUCCGAGUUUCUGUGGAGUCCAUCUUUUCCUUUUGAAGGCAACCGAUGCUCUGCAAGCCGCACCACAGAAGACCAGCGUCACAGGGCCACCACAGAUGUCGUGCUCCUCUCCACAGCCGCCGCAGGGCCUUUCCUGGCCUCGGCGUGUGCUUCCGGCGUACGUGUGUGGAUUGUUCGCUUGAGACUCUAGCGGCCGUUGCCAGAUCCGGGGCUGCUCAACGGGAGCGGAGGGCAGUACAGCGACUUUUGUUUGGGGCACAUGGCGAGUUGGCUGAUUGUCGCUUCGUUUUUUUUUUGCUGGUGCUUUCGCUUCGCCUAUUAAGCUGAAACAUAAGUUGUAACUGGGAGGAAGGCCUGCUUGUUUCCUCCUGUCUCUCUCUCUUGCCCUGUGUGUGUGUGUGUACUUCUGCCUCUUCGUUGUUGCCGUUGAGGCUUCUUUACAAGUGAUAAACCAG
rnacentral:misc_RNA from 1 species